GGUUAAGUUAAUAAGGGCGCACGGUGGAUGCCUUGGCACUAGAAGCCGAUGAAGGACGUGACUAACGACGAAAUGCCUUGGGGAGCUGUAAGUAAGCAAUGAUCCAGGGAUGUCCGAAUGGGGGAACCCGGCAGGUAAUGCCUGUCACUCACUACUGUUAAGGUAGUGAAGAGGAAGACGCAGUGAACUGAAACAUCUAAGUAGCUGCAGGAAGAGAAAGCAAAAGCGAUUGCCUUAGUAGCGGCGAGCGAAACGGCAGGAGGGCAAACCGAGGAGUUUACUCCUCGGGGUUGUAGGACUGCAAUGUGGACUUAAAGAGUAUAGAAGAACUACCUGGGAAGGUAGGCCAAAGAGAGUAAUAGCCUCGUAUUUGAAAUAUUCUUUAUACCUAGCAGUAUCCUGAGUACGGCGAGACACGCGAAAUCUCGUCGGAAUCCGGGAGGACCAUCUCCCAACCCUAAAUACUCUCUAGUGACCGAUAGUGAACCAGUACCGUGAGGGAAAGGUGAAAAGUACCCCGGAAGGGGAGUGAAAUAGAACCUGAAACCGUGUGCCUACAACAAGUUCGAGCCCGUUAAUGGGUGAGAGCGUGCCUUUUGUAGAAUGAACCGGCGAGUUACGAUAUGAUGCGAGGUUAAGUUGAAGAGACGGAGCCGUAGGGAAACCGAGUCUUAAUAGGGCGGAUUAGUAUUAUGUCGUAGACCCGAAACCAUGUGACCUACCCAUGAGCAGGUUGAAGGUGCGGUAAGACGCACUGGAGGACCGAACCAGGGCACGUUGAAAAGUGCUUGGAUGACUUGUGGGUAGCGGAGAAAUUCCAAACGAACUUGGAGAUAGCUGGUUCUCUCCGAAAUAGCUUUAGGGCUAGCGUCGACAUUUGAGAAUCUUGGAGGUAGAGCACUGUUUGGAUGAGGGGGCCAUCUCGGUUUACUGAUUUCAGAUAAACUCCGAAUGCCAAUGAUUUAUGGUCGGCAGUCAGACUGCGAGUGCUAAGAUCCGUAGUCGAAAGGGAAACAGCCCAGACCACCAGCUAAGGUCCCAAAAUAAUUGUUAAGUGGAAAAGGAUGUGGGGUUGCACAGACAACUAGGAUGUUAGCUUAGAAGCAGCUAUUCAUUCAAAGAGUGCGUAAUAGCUCACUAGUCGAGUGACCCUGCGCCGAAAAUGUACCGGGGCUAAAACAAUUUACCGAAGCUGUGGAUAACACUUAGGUGUUAUGGUAGGAGAGCGUUCUAUGUGUGAAGAAGGUAUACCGUGAGGAGUGCUGGAACGCAUAGAAGUGAGAAUGCCGGUAUGAGUAGCGAAAGAUGGGUGAGAAUCCCAUCCACCGUAAGACUAAGGUUUCCAGGGGAAGGCUCGUCCGCCCUGGGUUAGUCGGGACCUAAGGAGAGACCGAAGGGUGUAUCCGAUGGACAACAGGUUGAUAUUCCUGUACUAGAGUAUGAAGUGAUGGAGGGACGCAGUAGGCUAACUAAAGCGGGCGAUUGGAAGAGCCCGUCUAAGCAGUGAGGUGUGAUAUGAGUCAAAUGCUUGUAUCUGUAACAUUGAGCUGUGAUGGGGAGCGAAGUUAAGUAGCGAAGUUAGUGACGUCACACUGCCGAGAAAAGCUUCUAGCGAUGUAUCAUACUCUACCCGUACCGCAAACCGACACAGGUAGUCGAGGCGAGUAGCCUCAGGUGAGCGAGAGAACUCUCGUUAAGGAACUCGGCAAAAUGACCCCGUAACUUCGGGAGAAGGGGUGCUGACUUAAAGUCAGCCGCAGUGAAUAGGCCCAAGCAACUGUUUAUCAAAAACACAGCUCUCUGCUAAAUCGUAAGAUGAUGUAUAGGGGGUGACGCCUGCCCGGUGCUGGAAGGUUAAGAGGAGGGUUUAGCGCAAGCGAAGAUCUGAAUUGAAGCCCCAGUAAACGGCGGCCGUAACUAUAACGGUCCUAAGGUAGCGAAAUUCCUUGUCGGGUAAGUUCCGACCCGCACGAAAGGCGUAAUGAUUUGGGCACUGUCUCAACGAGAGACUCGGUGAAAUUUUAGUACCUGUGAAGAUGCAGGUUACCCGCGACAGGACGGAAAGACCCCAUGGAGCUUUACUGCAGUUUGAUAUUGAGUAUCUGUACCACAUGUACAGGAUAGGUAGGAGCCUAUGAAGUCGGGACGCCAGUUUCGAC
rnacentral:rRNA from 1 species